rfam:Myotis davidii contig114021, whole genome shotgun sequence.
CGGUCUCUUGCUUCAACGGUGUUUGGAUGAAACGG